rnacentral:misc_RNA from 1 species
UUAACUAUUAUAUAGUACUCAGACGAUAUUUAAACUCAGAGUUUGGGGUUCUCUGGCAAGCACUCACCAGCGUAAGCCGGUGGCCGAGGCGGCUCGCCAAAGCAACAAAGGUAUAAUAACAUAGGGUUGGAGAGUCACCCGUAAGGGCGAUGUUCUCUGUAAUGAUCCUUCCGCAGGUUCACCUACGGAAA